rnacentral:rRNA from 1 species
GACGAACGCUGGCGGCGUGCUUAACACAUGCAAGUCGAGCGGUAAGGCCCUUUCGGGGGUACACGAGCGGCGAACGGGUGAGUAACACGUGGGUGACCUGCCCUCAGCUCUGGGAUAAGCCCGGGAAACUGGGUCUAAUACCGGAUAUGACUCCAUGACGCAUGUUGUGGAGUGGAAAGCCUUGUGCGGCUGAGGAUGGGCCCGCGGCCUAUCAGCUUGUUGGUGGGGUGANGGCCUACCAAGGCGACGACGGGUAGCCGGCCUGAGAGGGCGACCGGCCACACUGGGACUGAGAUACGGCCCAGACUCCUACGGGAGGCAGCAGUGGGGAAUCUUGCGCAAUGGGCGAAAGCCUGACGCAGCGACGCCGCGUGAGGGAUGAC